UACGGAGGAUCCAAGCGUUAUCCGGAAUCAUCGGGUUUAAAGGGUCCGUAGGCGGACAAUUAAGUCAGUGGUGAAAGUCUUCCGCUCAACGGGAGAACUGCCUUUGAUACUGAAUGUCUUGAGUUCUUAUGAAGUGGUUAGAAUGAGUAGUGUAGCGGUGAAAUGCAUAGAUAUUACUCAGAAUACCGAUUGCGAAGGCAGAUCACUAAUAAUACACUGACGCUGAUGGGCGAAAGCGUAGGUAGCGAACAGG
rnacentral:misc_RNA from 1 species